GAAUUCCAGGUGUAGCGGUGAAAUGCGUAGAGAUCUGGAGGAAUACCGGUGGCGAAGGCGGCCCCCUGGACGAAGACUGACGCUCAGGUGCGAAAGCGUGGGGAGCAAACAGGAUUAGAUACCCUGGUAGUCCACGCCGUAAACGAUGUCGACUUGGAGGUUGUGCCCUUGAGGCGUGGCUUCCGGAGCUAACGCGUUAAGUCGACCGCCUGGGGAGUACGGCCGCAAGGUUAAAACUCAAAUGAAUUGACGGGGGCCCGCACAAGCGGUGGAGCAUGUGGUUUAAUUCGAUGCAACGCGAAGAACCUUACCUGGUCUUGACAUCCACGGAAGUUUUCAGAGAUGAGAAUGUGCCUUCGGGAACCGUGAGACAGGUGCUGCAUGGCUGUCGUCAGCUCGUGUUGUGAAAUGUUGGGUUAAGUCCCGCAACGAGCGCAACCCUUAUCCUUUGUUGCCAGCGGUCCGGCCGGGAACUCAAAGGAGACUGCCAGUGAUAAACUGGAGGAAGGUGGGGAUGACGUCAAGUCAUCAUGGCCCUUACGACCAGGGCUACACACGUGCUACAAUGGCGCAUACAAAGAGAAGCGACCUCGCGAGAGCAAGCGGACCUCAUAAAGUGCGUCGUAGUCCGGAUUGGAGUCUGCAACUCGACUCCAUGAAGUCGGAAUCGCUAGUAAUCGUGGAUCAGAAUGCCACGGUGAAUACGUUCCCGGGCCUUGUACACACCGCCCGUCACACCAUGGGAGUGGGUUGCAAAAGAAGUAGGUAGCUUAACCUUAGGGAGGGCGCUUACCACUUUGUGAUUCAUGACUGGGGUGAAGUCGUAACAAGGUAACCGUAGGGGAACCUGCGGUUG
rnacentral:rRNA from 1 species